rnacentral:rRNA from 1 species
UACGUAGGGGGCGAGCGUUGUCCGGAAUUAUUGGGCGUAAAGGGCUCGUAGGCGGUUUGUCGCGUCGGGAGUGAAAACUCAGGGCUUAACCCUGAGCCUGCUUCCGAUACGGGCAGACUAGAGGUAUGCAGGGGAGAACGGAAUUCCUGGUGUAGCGGUGAAAUGCGCAGAUAUCAGGAGGAACACCGGUGGCGAAGGCGGUUCUCUGGGCAUUACCUGACGCUGAGGAGCGAAAGUGUGGGGAGCGAACAGG